rnacentral:rRNA from 1 species
UCAAGAAACUUCCACAAUGGGCGAAAGCCUGAUGGAGCGACGUCGCGUGAUGGACGAAGUGCUUCGGCACGUAAACAUCUUUUUAUGUGGGAUGAAAUUAUUGACAGUACCACAUGAAUAAGGGGCUCCUAACUCUGUGCCAGCAGGGGCGGUAAUACAGAGGCCCCAAGCGUUAUCCGGAAUCACUGGGCGUAAAGGGUGUCGAGGCGGUUGUAUUAGUCGUUCGUAAAAUCUACGAGCUUAACUUGUAGGCGGCGAACGAAACGGUACGACUUGAGGUUUGGAGAGGUGCGUGGAACUCACGGUGUAGGGGUGAAAUCCGUUGAUAUCGUGGGGAACACCAAAGGCGAAGGCAGCGCACUGGCCAAAAUCUGACGCUCACACACGAAAAGCUAGGGUAGCGAAGAGGAUUAGAUACCCAGGUAGUCCCUGAGCGGGCUGGCAAGGCGCAU